rnacentral:misc_RNA from 1 species
GUGAGUCAUCGAAUCUUUGAACGCACAUUGCGCCCCUUGGUAUUCCAUGGGGCAUGCCUGUUCGAGCGUCAUUUGUACCUUCAAGCUCUGCUUGGUGAUGGGUGUUUGUCUGGCUUUGUGCAGACUCGCCUUGAAUGUAUUGGCAGCCGGUUGUCUGGUCGUAGAGCGCAGCACAUUUUGCGUACCUCGCCUGGCAGUCGGAGACCAUCAAGCCCACUUUCCACGUUUGACCUCGGAUCAGGUAGGGAUACCCGCUGAACUUAAGCAUAUCAAUAAGCGGAGGA